rnacentral:rRNA from 1 species
UACGGGGGGGGCAAGCGUUGUUCGGAAUUACUGGGCGUAAAGGGCUCGUAGGUGGCCAACUAAGUCAGACAUGAAAUCCCUCGGCUUAACCGGGGAACUGCGUCUGAUACUGGAUGGCUUGAGUUCGGGAGAGGGAUGCGGAAUUCCAGGUGUAGCGGUGAAAUGCGUAGAUAUCUGGAGGAACACCGGUGGCGAAGGCGGCAUCCUGGACCGACACUGACACUGAGGAGCGAAAGCCAGGGGAGCAAACGGG